rnacentral:rRNA from 1 species
AGAAGAUAGUGACGGUACCCCUGGAGGAAGCCCCGGCUAACUACGCGCCAGCAGCCGCGGUAAAACGUAGGGGGCGAGCGUUGUCCGGAAUUACUGGGCGUAAAGGGCGUGUAGGCGGCUUAGUAAGUCCGUAGUGAAACCCGACAGCUCAACUGUCGGCUUGCUAUAGAAACUGCUGGGCUUGAGUGCAGGAGAGGGGAGUGGAAUUCCCAGUGUAGCGGUGAAAUGCGUAGAUAUUGGGAGGAACACCAGUGGCGAAAGCGGCUCCCUGGCCUGUAACUGACGCUGAGGCGCGAAAGCGUGGGUAGCAAACAGGAUUAGAUACCCUGGUAGUCCACGCCGUAAACGAUGGGUGCUAGGUGUUGUGGGUAUCGACCCCCUCAGUGCCGGAGUUAACGCAAUAAGCACCCCGCCUGGGGAGUACGGCCGCAAGGCUGAAACUCAAAGGAAUUGACGGGGGCCCGCACAAGCGGUGGAGUAUGUGGUUUAAUUCGACGCAACGCGAAGAACCUUACCAGGUCUUGACAUCUCCUGCCAGCUGUAGAAAUACAGUAUUUAUCCUUUGGAUAACAGGAAGACAGGUGGUGCAUGGUUGUCGUCAGCUCGUGUCGUGAGAUGUU